rnacentral:rRNA from 1 species
UACGGAGGGUGCGAGCGUUGUCCGGAAUCACUGGGCGUAAAGGGCGCGUAGGCGGCCUGAUAAGUAGGGGGUGAAAUCCUGCGGCUUAACCGCAGGGCUGCCUUCUAACUGUCAGGCUCGAGCACAGUAGAGGCAGGUGGAAUUCCCGGUGUAGCGGUGGAAUGCGUAGAGAUCGGGAAGAACAUCAGUGGCGAAGGCGGCCUGCUGGGCUGUUGCUGACGCUGAGGAGCGAAAGCAUGGGGAGCGAACAGG